UCAGAACUGUGGUGUCCUUGAGGUGAGA
rnacentral:piRNA from 1 species